rnacentral:lncRNA from 1 species
GAGUGACACAGCCAAAAGUUCCAGCGGUACAACGCGGAUUUGUCUGUGGUAGAGAGAAAAGCAUUGCAGUUAAGGAAGAGAAGUAAGGUUAUGCCAGUCUUAGAGCAUAAUAGCUCAUUUUCUCCGAUGGAAAACUCAAAGCACAGCAGAUGAAUCAAUUUCUGCAGCUUUUAUUGUCUAGCCUUUUCCUGGCUGCAGAAUGAAAACAUUGACCUUGACUGAAGAAAUCCAUAAAGAUAGAAGGAAUCCAUUUAAAAAAUAAAGUGCUUGUGAAGGAGGUAAGUUUGCUAUAA